GUGUGAAGAUGGGCUGCGGAUCUCCGCUGCUGGAGCGCAGCGACGCUUCGAUGGAGUUGUGCAGGGCCUCUUCGAAGCGAGCGGACUUCAACUGCCCGGCGUAGGAAUUCCCCAUGAUCUGGGCAGAGGACGAAAAGGGAUGGUGACCAGUUCCGGGUGUGCCCCGCCUUUCAUCCAAAGUCAGCUGAUUAAGGCGCCAGUGAGGGUACGCGGUGAAGGAAAUCCUUAGAUAGAUGGCAUAAACAAUUAUUGAUAAUUUUUCUGCACUUUUUGGAAGCAAAAAUAUAUAUUUUUUUUAAUCCUG